GAUCCGGUGGCAUAGUGGUUAGAGCGUCAGCCUUGGAUAGGGGAGGUCGCGGUUUCGAACCCCGGCUGAGUCA